GGAGGCAUGGCAGAGUGGUCGAUUGCGCCAGAUUUAGGUUCUGGAGAUGGUGCCGAUAACACCAUUCGGGGGUUCGAAUCCCCCUGCCUCCGCCA
rnacentral:tRNA from 1 species